ACAAGUAGCCACAAAUUGGAAUCCUCUUUUCAGACAUAUCAAGACUUCAUGAGAGAGAUGCGGGAUUUCCACUCCCGUGCACCAAGUAACCUUCCCCCCAUGGCCUUCCCGCCCCCCCCACCAUUUGACCCUAUUGGACCCCCAAGAUACCCAUGAUGGACCUCCA